GGAAUGGGAAUUAAGGGGGUACGAGACUAAAUAGCCAUCGUAUGGUUCGGAGUAGUGGGAGUUGUGGCAGGAAGGGGAAGGGGAAUUGCGGAGGGCAACUCCCUCAUAUUUCUUCCCUGGGGGGGACGUGGUAAUUGGAUCGAGAUAGGGAAUUUGACAAAGAAAAAACUUCUCCCGUUAGCUGAACAAAAUCCGCGCGAUGGAAGGAAGGCAAAAAAAGCCCCGCGAAAAUCUUUCCCAGUUCGCGGGAAAAUCCUCUUUAUAUAAGUCUGUAGCUCUCCUCCUCCCUUGAAAUCGCCAAGGUCAACUGCCACCCGAUCUGGACAGAGGCGACCUAGAAAGAGGCGACACAGGUACGAACAGAGUCAGAUCGGGAGCAAGAGUCACCACAGGCCAGAGCAUGGAGGGGGACUUCAUCCAUAUCAAAAUUCAUCACGGGGGUUCUUUUUCAAUGGAAGGUCCACUCACUUAUGAUGGAGGCGAAGUAUCUAUUUUUCGAGAUUGUGACAGUGAGCGUAUAUCAUAUUUUCGUCUAGUUCGCAUGGCUAAAGAUGUAGGUUUCAAGGAUGGUGAUGAGUUAUAUUACACAAUCCCUGAGUGUAGCCUUGAUGAAGGAAUCGAUCUACUUCAUGAUGAUAAUUCUGUUCUUAAAAUGUUGAACUUCGCAAAGAAAAACAACCUUGCAGAGAUAUAUGUUAAGCAUAAAGGGCAUGAAAGCAAUCUUGUUAAUCAAAGAUCUGGUACAGGCAAUAAGGAGAAACUUCCAGAGGAGACAUGGCCCGCCCACCAAAAAAGCGGGAAAUCAUAAUCUUAUGGCACACUAUGAGGCAACGGAGAGUGAAAAUACUAAUAAUAUUAUAUCUGUUAUUGCAAACCUUCAUAAUGUUAAUUAGGAGGCGUCGACGUAGGAUGCGUCGCGUUAGGCAGCCUUCUUGGUAUGAUCCAAUCACACGAGCACAAACACUGAACAACAAAAUACGAGUAAGCGAUACAGAAUGCAUUUACCAGCUACGGAUGGAUAGGCGUUGUUUCCAAGUGUUAUGUUCUUUGGUAAGAGAAAUUGGUGGGGUAAAGGAUAGUAGGAACAUGAGCGUGGAUGAGAUGGUUGCUAUGUUCCUUCACAUACUUGCACAUGAUGAGAAAAAUCGAGCAAUCCAUCAUGAUUUCCAGCGGUCACCUGAAUCAGUUAGUCGGAAUUUUCAUAAAAUUCUAGACGCGGUUUUAAAACUCUGGAGAGUUCUACUUAAGAAGCCUCGACCAAUUCCCGCCAAUUGCACAGAUGGAAGGUGGACGUGGUUUAAGAACUGUUUAGGUGCCUUAGAUGGGACAUAUAUAGAAGUUCACGUGCCCAAAGUUGACAAACCAAGAUUUCGAUCAAGAAAAAAGGAAGUUGCAACUAAUGUCCUUGGCGUUUGUGCGCCAGACAUGCAGUUCAUUUAUGUAUUGCCGGGUUGGGAAGGAUCUGCACAUGAUGGGAGGGUGCUCCGAGAUGCUUUAUCGAGACCAAAUGGCCUUAGGAUUCCUCGUGGAUGUUAUUACCUAGUCGACGCUGGGUACAAGAACUGUGAGGGAUUUCUUGCUCCAUACAGAUGCCAACGAUACCAUCUAAAUGACUGGACAAAUCCCCCAAAUACAAAAGAGGAACUGUUUAACAUGAAGCAUUCAGCAGCCAGAAAUACAAUUGAGAGGACAUUUGGCUUGUUGAAGAUGCGUUGGGGUAUCAUUAGGAAUCCCUCUUAUUAUCCUUUUGAUACACAAGUUGAUAUAAUAUUAGCCUGCUGCUACAUUCACAAUCUCAUACGACAACAAAUGCGUAUUGAUCCUUGUGAGGAAUAUCUAGAUGAGUACAUGCGAAGUCUUCAGCAACAACAUGUAAAUGAGGAUGUCAUUCAGUCCACCGAAGCAUCUUCAGAAUGGACUGAGAAAAGAGACAAGUUAGCCGACGACAUGUGGAAAUCUUGGAAUGAGAAAAGACGAGACAAUUGAUGCAUGGUAGCAGAUAUUAGGUGUAUUACAUUAAAUGUUUGUGUACCUAGCUAUGUGUGUCAAAACAUUAUGUCAUGCUAUUUGUUUUCUCCUAUAUGUCAUAGUACCAUAUCUUUUUCACAUGUUAAUCUAUGAACAUCUUUCUCCCUUGUCGUUUGUUUUCUCUAAUAUGUCUCCUCAAUGUAUGGUCAUAUUUUCCGUUUGUACACAUAUUUCAUUAUCCUAUUUAUAAAAUAGCAGAAUACCAAGUCAAAGAGGAGCAAAUUAACAUCCAAAAAAAGAGACAAGAGAACAUGGACAGCCGAGGAGGAGAAGUUACUGAUUGAUAUUCUCCAUCAAAUGAACGACUCUUCUUGGAAAGUAGACACAGGUCACAAGUCUGGGUAUCUCACGUACAUUGAGAAGGAAAUGGCUAAAGUACUACCACAUGCUGAUCUCAAAGCUGAUCCACACAUCAAGUCAAAAGUGAAGAUUCUGAAGAAGCAACUUUCGUAUGUCCUGGAAAUUAUGCAAAAUGGCAGUGGGUUUGGAUGGGACGAUGAGAUGAAGAUGGUAGUUGGAGAUAGAGACACCUAUAUGGGUUGGGCAAAGUCCCGUGAGGGAGCAGGUCCUCUGUACAUGAAGCCCAUGGUCAACUUUGACAAACUUUGUGAGGUGUAUGCCAGUGAUUUGGCUCAAGGAGGAAGUGCUAAGGGUCCUGGAGAACAGGAAGUGGCAGAAGAUGAAUCCCCUGUACAUGCAGAACCCACUAGUGAACCUAAUAAGAAGAAUGUCGCUCAAGCACAAGAUAACACCAACCCUUCAGGCAGUUCGAGGCAGGGUCGUAAGAGAACGUACCCAGAUGAUGAAGCAGCUGAGCUAGGACUUGUAAGUGUAUCUAAUACACUUGCAAAGUUCUUAGAAGCGGAGCAGGAGAAUGCAAAAACCAUGAGUGGUUUACAGAAGGCAUUGUUUCAUGAAGCCGAAGUUCAUGAUCAAACGUCAGCCAACAGAACCAAGUUACUUGAUGUUCUGCAGAAUCUGGAGGGUCUCACAGACGAAGAAGUCGUCAUGGCUGUUCGUGUCAUUGGUCGUGACGCUGGACAAACAGAAAAAAAAAUCUGUGGCUGCUGCAGUGUCCGUUGGCAAAAGAAAAAAAAAUCAAUCUGAUGGGUACAACAGAAGAGAAAAACGAUUCGGCAACUCCCCAUAUAAUUCCCAUCAAAUUCCAAACGGUGGAAUGGGAGUAAAUGAUAACUUCCCCUGCCCAUUACCCAUACGAACUCCCUACCUCUAACUCCCAAUCCCCUGCCAUCCGUUUACCAAACACGCUGGGAUCCUGGUUCGUCCGUGGUCAUGACGGCGUCAAGGAUGCGAACCACACCGGAGUCAACGGCACGGCCAGGGGCACGACGAAUGACUCAGGUUAUUUCUUCUACCAAUCUCCUCCACAUAGAUUGUCUGUAGCGCAGCGCCCCCUUUUGUUCCUCGAAGUGCUCCGUACAUCGCCUACGGCCGCCUUGCAGCACUCCUCUAUCUCGCCCCCGGGCAUGCUCCUCCUUGAUUUGCUAUCACCAAGUUGCGAGUAUGAAUCCCUGGCUCGAGCCUCGCCUGAUUUCCCGGAUGACUCUUCACAUCCCGAAGUCAAUAGGGCGCCAGGGGUGCUGCUCCUAGAUCUGUUGUGAUUCCUCUAGCCGUGACCAAGAUCAGUUUGACAGCGAGCUUCCCCUGUUUCCCAAUGUUAGUUCUUCCUCUGAUAUGCUGUUCAAUGUGGUCUGGCUUGUGUGCCGUCGGCCAAGAUGUUUCGCGCCUCAGCUGUCCAAGGAUGGGCUGUUCUGUCGCUUAGUCUGGUACUGGCCUCAUUAAUCUUAUCUCGAGUCCCCAUGGUUUCCCUUAUUAUGGAUUUCUCAUUUCUUCAUCGUAAAUUGGAACGCGAGGGGCCUAAACAAUCCUGCCAAGCGGAGGGCUGUCCAUUUUUUUUCUUGAUGGCCUGCAUUGCAAUUUUAUUUGCUUCGAAGAGGUUAAAUUAGCACAGAUUGACAGACCGAUUAUAGCCUAAGCCCUAGGACCAAGAUUCAGUGAUAAUUUCAUCUUCAAAACUGCUGUGGGAACUCGAGGGGGAAUUCGUUUUCAUAAUGCUUCCCGCUGGUACACUUGAUGAUAUGGUGCAAAGUAAUCCCUUCCAUUCUACUAAGAUACGAUUGCUUUCCAUCUGUAGGUAAACUUAUUUUAUUUUAUACUUGCUUUAUACAUUGCGUGUCUUCUGCAAUUGACUCAAUUUCUGAUAUUACCUACACAAGGGCACAAUGGUGAAUUCUACCAGGAUGUUGUUGGUACACAACAUCCUUACUUCUUAAUCAUGUAUCUGAAUGGUGCACAACUUCAAUGCUUUGUUAAUUCUGAAUAACAUUUUUUUUAUUUCUUGAUUGCAGGAUCCAAACAACUAGCUGGACUGGACACUAGAUGACAUACAUAGUUUAGUCUUGGCACUAAAUUAGGAUGCUAAAUUAUAUAUAAGUUUCAUUUGAUAGAUAUUUUCUACGGCAAUUAUGAUUUUUAUGAAUCAAUAUGUAUAUUAUACACAUGGUUUUGAAUUUUGUAAUUGAAUGCAUGGGUUUUUA